rnacentral:rRNA from 1 species
UACGGAGGGUGCAAACGUUGCUCGGAAUUAUUGGGCGUAAAGCGCACGUAGGCGGCCAACUAAGUCGGACGUGAAAUCCCCAGGCUCAACCUGGGAACUGCGUCCGAUACUGGAUGGCUUGAAUCCGGGAGAGGGAUGCAGAAUUCCAGGUGUAGCGGUGAAAUGCGUAGAUAUCUGGAGGAACACCGGUGGCGAAGGCGGCAUCCUGGACCGGCAUUGACGCUGAGGCGCGAAAGCUAGGGGAGCAAACGGG